rnacentral:rRNA from 1 species
AUUGAACGCUGGCGGCAUGCCUUACACAUGCAAGUCGAACGGUAACGCGGGGCAACCUGGCGACGAGUGGCGAACGGGUGAGUAAUGUAUCGGAACGUGCCCAGUUGUGGGGGAUAACUGCUCGAAAGAGCAGCUAAUACCGCAUACGACCUGAGGGUGAAAGCGGGGGAUCGCAAGACCUCGCGCAAUUGGAGCGGCCGAUAUCAGAUUAGGUAGUUGGUGAGGUAAAGGCUCACCAAGCCGACGAUCUGUAGCUGGUCUGAGAGGACGACCAGCCACACUGGGACUGAGACACGGCCCAGACUCCUACGGGAGGCAGCAGUGGGGAAUUUUGGACAAUGGACGCAAGUCUGAUCCAGCCAUGCCGCGUGCGGGAAGAAGGCCUUCGGGUUGUAAACCGCUUUUGUCAGGGAAGAAACGCUCUGGGUUAAUACCCCGGGGUAAUGACGGUACCUGAAGAAUAAGCACCGGCUAACUACGUGCCAGCAGCCGCCGCGGUAA